AUUGAAUGCUGGCGGCAGGCCUAACACAUGCAAGUCGAGCGGUAGAGAGGUGCUUGCAUCUCUUGAGAGCGGCGGACGGGUGAGUAAUGCCUAGGAAUCUGCCUAGUGGUGGGGGAUAACGUUCGGAAACGGACGCUAAUACCGCAUACGUCCUACGGGAGAAAGCGGGGGAUCUUCGGACCUCGCGCCAUUAGAUGAGCCUAGGUCGGAUUAGCUAGUUGGUGAGGUAAUGGCUCACCAAGGCGACGAUCCGUAACUGGUCUGAGAGGACGACCAGCCACACUGGGACUGAGACACGGCCCAGACUCCUACGGGAGGCAGCAGUGGGGAAUUUUGGACAAUGGGCGCAAGCCUGAUCCAGACAAUGCCGCGUGCAGGAUGAAGGCCUCGGUUGUAA
rnacentral:rRNA from 1 species